rnacentral:tRNA from 7 species
ACUUUUAAAGGAUAAGAGCAAUCCGUUGGUCUUAGGAACCACCUAUCUUGGUGCAAAUCCAAGUAAAAGUA